UUCCAGUUUAUGUUUGUCUGAAAAUAUCCUUAUUUCACUUUUUUUAAAAAAAGGAAAUUUUCUUUAAGUAUAGAACUCUAGGUUGGCUGUUUUUUUCUUUUAGCAUUUUGAAGAUGUUCCAAUGUCAACUGGUUACAUAGAGAAACUAUGGAAAAUACCGAAACAUCUUUAAAGGUGAAAAGAAAAACAUCUCUAUGUAGCCACCAGUUUUAUUAGUGUUCCUUUAUGGAAUCUCGCUCUGUCGCCUAGGCUGGAGUGCAAUGGCGCAAUCUCAGCUCACUGCAACCUCUGUCUCCCAGGUUCAAGCGAUUCUCCUGCCUCAGCCUCCUGGGAACUGGAUUACAGGCGUGUGCUACCAUUCCAGCUAAUUUUUUGUAUCUUUAGUAGAGACAGGGUUUCACCAUGUUGGCCAGGCUGGUCUCAAACUCCUCGGCCUCUCAAAGUGCUGGGAUUACAGGCGUGAGCCACCAUGCCCAGCCUGUGUUAUCUUCUUAAUGUUAGCAAUUUGCAUGAAACUUUUUAAUUUUUUUCUUCUUUUUAUCUUUCAGAAUAAGUGUUGGUAAUCAUAACAGUAAUAAUGAUCUUAAUAAUAUUAAUAGCAGCAAAAACCUAGAAAGUGCUUAAUAGAUCAGAAACUACUCUAGCAUUUUACAUGUAUUAAUUCACACAAUCCUCAAGACAGCCCUAUACUAUAAAGUAGUGUUGACAUCAUUCUCAUUUUACUGAUGAUGCGAGGAAAGGUGAAUAACUUAAAUAAAGUCACAUAUCUAGAAAACAGUUGAGUCACGAUUCAAAAUUGGGCUGUCCAGUUCCAAAGUCUACCUUCUUAGUCGCCAUGCUAUAUCUAUAAUGAAUGUCUAACUUUUCAUUUUGUCUGAGAUUUACUGAUUCACUUAAGUAUAUGUUAUACCAGUUUCCAGAAGAAUUCAAAUCUAUAUCUUGUCCUCACUUGCCCUAUCCAAAUAUUUACUACUAUAUCUUGCCCCUAGAAGGUUCUCUGCCAACUAGCAAAAUAUGAUUCCUGCAAUAAAAUGAAAUUAUAUUUAAUCAAUGACCCACCAAUUCAUCAGUGUCCAGUAUAAUACUCAGAUCAUAACUCAGAACAUGUGUUUUGAAUUACUUAAUAUUUGAAGUCUACCUUUAUUACCAUGUACUCUGAUUUAGUAGCUUUCGAAACACACUUCAGUUUCAAAUAACAAAUUACAACAUAUUUUUGUAUUGAUGAAUGAAUGCAUGUGUAUAAAUUGCAUUAUGCCAGUUUCACCGAGAUAUGUUUUAAUACUUUUACUAUUCAAGGCUUUGAACUACAGUCCAUUUACAUUGUUCUCUACUAUCGAGUGCAUGCCUUCUAUAUCAUCUGCAUAAUAAAUUUCUAUAGAUACAA